rnacentral:lncRNA from 1 species
GGAAGGGUCGGUUAUUAAAAUGAAAGAGCAGGAAACAAUGGGAUGAGACAAUGUAGAAGUAAAAAGAAAGAGGAAAGAAAACAAGCUAACUAUGAUACAAAAACUGUUUGUAAAUCGGUUUUAAGAACUCCCAUGAGAUCUUACAGAUGAAAUUGAAUGCGCUGAGACAGAAGCAGUUGGGCUGUUGAGAUCCCGAUCCCCUUGGCAACUUUGGAUUUUCCACUCAAUCUCUC